AUUGAACGCUGGCGGCAGGCCUAACACAUGCAAGUCGAGCGGAUGAGGGGUGCUUGCACUCUGAUUCAGCGGCGGACGGGUGAGUAAUGCCUAGGAAUCUGCCCGAUAGUGGGGGACAACGUUUCGAAAGGAACGCUAAUACCGCAUACGUCCUACGGGAGAAAGUGGGGGAUCUUCGGACAUCACGCUAUCGGAUGAGCCUAGGUCGGAUUAGCUAGUUGGUGAGGUAAUGGCUCACCAAGGCUACGAUCCGUAACUGGUCUGAGAGGAUGAUCAGUCACACGGGAACUGAGACACGGUCCAGACUCCUACGGGAGGCAGCAGUGGGGAAUAUUGGACAAUGGGCGAAAGCCUGAUCCAGCCAUGCCGCGUGUGUGAAGAAGGUCUUCGGAUUGUAAAGCACUUUAAGUUGGGAGGAAGGGCUGUAGGCUAAUAUCCUGCAGUUUUGGCGUUACCAACAGAAUAAGCACCGGCUAACUUCGUGCCAGCAGCCGCCGUAA
rnacentral:rRNA from 1 species